rnacentral:rRNA from 1 species
CCUACGGGAGGCAGCAGUGAGGAAUAUUGGUCAAUGGGCGGGAGCCUGAACCAGCCAAGUCGCGUGAGGGAAGACGGUCCUAUGGAUUGUAAACCUCUUUAGGCGGGGAGCAAUGCCGGGCACGCGUGCCCGGAGGGAGAGUACCCGCAGAAUAAGCAUCGGCUAACUCCGUGCCAGCAGCCGCGGUCAUACGGAGGAUGCGAGCGUUAUCCGGAUUUAUUGGGUUUAAGGGGUGCUUAGGCGGAUUUUUAAGUCAGCGGUAAAAUGUCCGGGCUCAACCCGGGGCGGCCGUUGAAACUGGGGAGCUUGAGUGGGCGAGAAGUAUGCGGAAUGCGGGGUGUAGCGGUGAAAUGCAUAGAUAUCACGCAGAACUCCGACUGCGAAGGCAGCAUACCGGCGCCCGACUGACGCUGAGGCACGAAAGCGUGGGGAUCGAACAGGAUUAGAUACCCUGUAGUC